GAGUUCUAGUAAAAAAAUUACAUAACUUUGUCAAGGUUAAAUUACGGAAUAAUCUCCGUGCACUCCUA
rnacentral:tRNA from 1 species